CUGCGUGAAAGCUAGAACAACAUCAUCGUCUCUCGCUGAAGCAUGAGGAAGCUCCAAGCGGCCACAAACGCUAUCUCGCGUCUACGGAUCGCGGCACCUCACCACCUAUUACCACCGCGUCUUCGCCAUGAGGAUAAACACCAUCGCGCAGGAACGUAGCAGAUAGGAAGAAAUGCCUCGAAUCGGCGCGAAGCAGAAACGACAAUGGAGUGGACGUUCACCGAUUCCAAACCUUUGGCGCAUCCAUGGUUUUGAUCUCUUUUCCCUCUCUCUGAUUUCACUUCUCCUUCCAUUCUUCUUUCUGUUUUCUGCGAAUUCCGGCUACACGUUUGUGGUUUGUGGAAUUUCUGAGUGAGGUUGUGAAAAUACUGUUGCAGGAGCGGUGAUAACGCGGAGCGAUGAAGAAAACGGUUGCAGGAACGGUGCAUGAGCAACGACGAAAAUGAAGCGAAGUCGCAAAUGGUGUCUUUCCGAUGCAGAAGGGAUAGAGUAGUCACAGAGUGACGAAGAUCGGUUGGACAAUUCACGAUUGAAGAAUGGAUGGUGUAGAAUCAAGAGGAACCUUGAAGGAGAGAUGAAGGUUGAAGAUAUUUUUGAAGAAAACAGAAUGAAGAAACAGGAUGAAGAUUUUGAGAAGAAGAGUGGAAAAAAAUUCUGCAGAAGAUUGGUUAUCUCAAGAUUGAAGAGGUUGAAGAUUGAUUUAUAGUAUUCCCAAAAAUCGGUUAGAAAUUCAAUCUCAAACUCAUCUGAAAUUUAGAGUUGGUUAGCAAAUUCAUAAUCUGUUAGUUAGUUAGUUAUCAAAUGAAAAUCGAAAUUCAAGUUUGAAGUGAAUUUGAAGAUUGGUUAUCUCAAGAGGAACCUUGU
rnacentral:lncRNA from 1 species